rnacentral:rRNA from 1 species
GCCACAAAGCUAGCUCUAACCAUAUAGCAAAAUUAAUAAUCUAAUUACCUACUUAACAACAAAAAAAUAGAAACCAAAUCAUUUGACCUUCCCAGUAUGGGCGACAGAAAAGAAUCCCCAGAAGCAAUAGAAAAAGUACCGCAAGGGAAAGCUGAAAGAGAAGGUGAAAUAACCCAUUAAAGCACAGAAAAGCAGAGAUAACCUCUCGUACCUUUUGCAUCAUGAUUCAGCAAGUUAACUCAAGCAAAGAGCACUCUAGUUUGCACCCCCGAAACUUGACGAGCUACUCCGAGACAGCCAACUAUGGGCCAACCCGNCUCUGUGGCAAAAGAGUGGGAAGAUCUCCGAGUAGAGGCAAAAAACCUACCGAGCCAAGUUAUAGCUGGUUGCCCAAUAAAUGAAUACAAGUUCAGCCCUGCCUAGCCCGACUCACACCAGUUUUACGAAAAAAGACAAAGAGCUCACUUGCAGGAGUUAAUCAGAGGAGGUACAGCUCCCCUGAUACAGGAUACAACCUUUUUAGGAGACAAAAGAAUAUUGCCAAACAAGGCCUUGGGUCUCAGUGGGCCUGAAAGCAGCCAUCUGAUCUGAAAGCGUUAAAGCUCCGGCCAAAAGAAAGCCUUUUAUUUAAUCUUAAUAUCUGCUCCCCUAAACCUUAUUGGGCCUCUCCAUGCAUCCAUGGAAGAGACUAUGCUGGAACGAGUAACAAGAAGAAUGAACUUCUCCACGCACAAGUGUAUGUCAAAUUGGACCAACCAUCGACAAUCAACGAACCCAACAAAAGAGGGCCCUACACACCCGCCACCUCUGACCAAGAAAACUAUGUUCCGCAGAAUCGUUGCCCCGACACAGGAGUGCCAGAGCCGCCAAGGGAAAGCUGAAAGAAAGAGAAGGAACUCGGCAAACACAUAAAGCCUCGCCUGUUUACCAAAAACAUCGCCUCUUGCAAGACUAAAGAAUAAGAGGUCCCGCCUGCCCAGUGACAACUAGUUCAACGGCCGCGGUAUUUUGACCGUGCAAAGGUAGCGUAAUCACUUGUCUUUUAAAUGAAGACCUGUAUGAAUGGCAUAACGAGGGCUUAGCUGUCUCCUCUACCCAGUCAAUGAAAUUGAUCUCCCCGUGCAGAAGCGGGGGUAAAACCAUAAGACGAGAAGACCCUAUGGAGCUUUAGACACUAGGGCAGAUCACGUUAAACAACUCCCAAUAAAGAACAAAACUGAAUGAGUCCUGCUUAAAUGUCUUCGGUUGGGGCGACCAUGGGGAAAUAAAAAACCCCCACGUGGACUGGGAGCACCUUCCCCCUCUUCCCUCCUCCCAAAACUGAGAGCUACCGCUCUAAUUAACAGAAAUUCUGACCAAAAAUGAUCCGGCAACGCCGAUCAACGGACCAAGUUACCCUAGGGAUAACAGCGCAAUCCCCUUUUAGAGCCCAUAUCGACAAGGGGGUUUACGACCUCGAUGUUGGAUCAGGACAUCCUAAUGGUGCAGCCGCUAUUAAGGGUUCGUUUGUUCAACGAUUAAAGUCCUACGUGAUCUGAGUUCAGACCGGAGUAAUCCAGGUCAGUUUCUAUCUAUGCUAUGAUCUUUUCUAGUACGAAAGGACCGAAAAGAAGAGGCCCCUGCUUUAAGUACGCCUCACCCCCACCUAAUGAAAGCAUCUAAACUAGGCAAGAGGGCAUGCCCUUCAUGCCCAAGAGAACGGCAU